CCUGGCGGCGAUAGUGCGGUGGAACCACCUGACACCAUACCGAACUCAGAAGUGAAACGCUGUAAUGCCGAUGGUAGUGUGGGGCUUCCCCAUG
rnacentral:rRNA from 1 species